rnacentral:rRNA from 1 species
UACGUAGGGUGCAAGCGUUGUCCGGAAUUAUUGGGCGUAAAGAGCUCGUAGGCGGUCUGUCGCGUCGAAUGUGAAAGUCCGGGGCUCAACUCCGGAUCUGCGGUGGGUACGGGCAGACUAGAGUGAUGUAGGGGAGACUGGAAUUCCUGGUGUAGCGGUGAAAUGCGCAGAUAUCAGGAGGAACACCGGUGGCGAAGGCGGCGAUCUGGACAAUGACUGACGCUGAGACGCGAAAAGCGUGGGGGAGCAAACAGG